rnacentral:rRNA from 1 species
GACGAACGCUGGCGGCGUGCUUAACACAUGCAAGUCGAACGAUGAACCACUUCGGUGGGGAUUAGUGGCGAACGGGUGAGUAACACGUGGGCAAUCUGCCCUUCACUCUGGGACAAGCCCUGGAAACGGGGUCUAAUACCGGAUACCACUCUCGCGGGCAUCUGCGAGGGUUGAAAGCUCCGGCGGUGAAGGAUGAGCCCGCGGCCUAUCAGCUUGUUGGUGAGGUAAGGCUCACCAAGGCGACGACGGGUAGCCGGCCUGAGAGGGCGACCGGCCACACUGGGACUGAGACACGGCCCAGACUCCUACGGGAGGCAGCAGUGGGGAAUAUUGCACAAUGGGCGAAAGCCUGAUGCAGCGACGCCGCGUGAGGAUGACGGCCU